GGCCCAGAUCGUUUACCGUGAAAAAAUUAGAGUGUUCAAAGCAGGCAGAUUCAAUUUUCUGCCACCGAAUACAUUAGCAUGGGAUAAUGGAAUAGGACCCUGUCCUCCUAUCUUCAGUUGGUUAACUUGUAGAGGAUCAGGGUAAUGAUUAAUAGGGAUAGUUGGGGGCAU
rnacentral:rRNA from 1 species